rnacentral:lncRNA from 1 species
AUGCGUGUGCUCAGCCGCACAUGCACACCUGCGACCACGCGUUUGCAUUGGUGCGUGUGUGUGUGCACGAACUUGUGUGUGCACGGACUCGUGUGCAUUGCCGCACGUGCACACCGCCACAUGUACACGCCUGCAACUGUGUGUUUGCAUUGGUACGCGUGUGUGUGUGUGCGCCGACUGGUGUGCGCAGACUCGUGUGCGUACAAACUUGUGUGCGUACAAACUUGUGUGUGUGCAUGGAUUUGUGUGAGCACGGGCUUGUUUGUGCACAGAUUCGUGUGUGCACGGACUCGUGUGCGCACGGACUCGUGUGCACGCAGGGUACCGGCUUCACGGGGAGCGCGCAGGGCCGCCCUGCGGGGCCGUGCUCCUGCGGGGCGCGCCGGGGCCCCGCGCGUGUGCAAGCCCCGCGGCGGGCGCGCGUGCCCCGCGUGCGCGCGUGUGCACGAUCCAGCCCGGGUUUUCGGAGCGGCUGGGACCGGCGUUGCUCCCGGCCGGGGUCUCCGUCCCGAGCGGGCUCGGCGCCGCCGCCGCCGCCCGACUUGGCGGAGCGGCUCCGCGGCGCCCCGCGACUUUUACCGGGACGCGCCGCCCCCCCGCGGGGCUCCGGCAACUCGCUCCGGCCGCCCGGGGAGGAGCGGGAGCGCGGCCGGGGAAGUGCUGGGGAAGGAGGGGGGUAGGGGCCGCCCCGUCCCGUCCCGAGCCCGGGACCCCCCUGGAUGUGCCGCUGCUCGCCGGCCCCGAGCCGCAGCCGGGAGAAGGGGGAGCGUGGACCGGCGGGGGCCGCUCGGAGGUAGGAGCCGCCGGGGCCGUCGGGGGUGCUGGGGCCGCGGGCUCGGUUUGCUGGAGGUGCCGCGGGACCGGACGGCGCCGGGUCCCCCGGGGGACCCCCGCCGGGCUCCCCGCACGGGGCACCGGGGGCGAGCCGGGGGGGGGUCGCACCGUGCUGGGGAGCGGCCGGGGCCGAGCCGGGCCGGGCGGUGCCGUGCGGCCAGCGGAGCUCCCCGGGCUCGCCGUGCUCCCCAACACGUCCAGGGGAGCUCGCACCCACUCCCGCGCCCUCGCGGCCCCACCGGGCUUCGCGCACCGGCUGGGAGGGCCCGCUUUGCCUGGCCACCCGAGCUCUGGGCGGCCCGAGCAGGGGAUGCAGGGUUCCCGCGGCCCCGUCCGUGGGUGCUCUGCUGCUGCCCGGUCGAGGGCGUUGGGCUGAGAGCAGCGGCCGGGUGGAAGUUUCUGCCCCAGCCCGAGUGA